rnacentral:rRNA from 1 species
GACGAACGCUGGCGGCGUGCUUAACACAUGCGAGUCGAACGGAAAGGCCCUGCUUGCAGGGUACUCGAGUGGCGAACGGGUGAGUAACACGUGGGUGAUCUGCCCUGCACUUCGGGAUAAGCUUGGGAAACUGGGUCUAAUACCGGAUAGGAGCCAUCUUUAGUGUGGUGGUUGGAAAGUUUUUUCGGUGUAGGAUGAGCUCGCGGCCUAUCAGCUUGUUGGUGGGGUAAUGGCCUACCAAGGCGGCGACGGGUAGCCGGCCUGAGAGGGUGUACGGCCACAUUGGGACUGAGAUACGGCCCAGACUCCUACGGGAGGCAGCAGUGGGGAAUAUUGCACAAUGGGCGCAAGCCUGAUGCAGCGACGCCGCGUGGGGGAUGAAGGCCUUCGGGUUGUAAACUCCUUUCGCUAGGGACGAAGCUUUUUGUGACGGUACCUAGAUAAGAAGCACCGGCUAACUACGUG